rnacentral:rRNA from 1 species
GCUGAAAAUCUAGCUCGCUCCCUCGAAUGAAACUAUUUACCUUAAUAAAUAAACUAAAACAUUUUUAUAAUUUAGUAUAGGAGAUAAAAAAAUUCAAUGAAGCAAUAUAAAUAGUACCGUAAGGGAAAGAUGAAAUAAAAAUGAAAAUCUCUAAGCAUAAAAAAAUAGAGAUUAACUCUCGUACCUUUUGCAUCAUGGUUUAACUAGUCUAACCAAGCAAAAAGCAUUUCAGUUUGACUUCCCGAAACUAAGCGAGCUACUUCGAAGCAGCCUCCUGGGCACACCCGUCUCUGUUGCAAAAGAGUGGGAUGACUUCCAAGUAGCGGCGAUACACCUAACGAGCUUAGUGAUAGCUGGUUACUCAAGAAACGGAUUUUAGUCCCGCCUAAAGCUUCCCUAACUUAUACUAAAACUAUACCCCAAGCUUUAGAGUAAAUCAAAUAAGGUACAGCCUAUUUGACACAGGAAACAACCUAAACUGAUGGGUAAGACAAUUUUUGCAUUAUCUUAGUAGGCCUAAGAGCAGCCACCUAAAAGAGCGUCAUAGCUUCGCUAAACUAACCCUCUAAUACCCACUUAAACUCUAAACCCUCUACCCCUAUUGAGUAAUUCUAUAAUUUAUAGAAAAUUUUAUGUUAAAACUAGUAACAAGAAGCCAAACCUUCUCUUAAGUGCAAGCAUAAUUCAGACAGGAUAAACCACUGAUAAUUAACGCCCCUGAACACAUAUUAGUAACUCAACAAGAAAAACCUCAUAUUUUAUGCGUUAAUCUAACACAAGAGCACUCCAAGAAAGAUUUAAAGAAAAAGAAGGAACUCGGCAAAUAUUAGCCCCGCCUGUUUAUCAAAAACAUCGCCUCUUGCCUAAAAUAAGAGGUCCAGCCUGCCCAGUGACAUGUGUUCAACGGCCGCGGUAUCCUAACCGUGCGAAGGUAGCGUAAUCACUUGUUCUUUAAAUGAGGACUAGUAUGAAUGGCAUCACGAGGGUUAUACUGUCUCCUUUUUCUAAUCAGUGAAACUAAUCUCCCCGUGAAGAAGCGGGGUUAAAACUAUAAGACGAGAAGACCCUAUGGAGCUUUAAAUUUCCACUCAAAUGCUUACUAAUCUUUAAACUUCCUAGUAUAACUAAAAACUACUUUAGCAUUAUGAGCUAGAAUUUUAGGUUGGGGUGACCGCGGAGUACAAAAUAACCUCCACAUUGAAACAGGUUUAUAACCUUGAGCAACGGACAACAAUCCUACGCACUAAAAAAUUAACAUCCAUUGACCCAAAUUUUUGAUCAACGAACCAAGUUACCCUAGGGAUAACAGCGCAAUCCUCUUCAAGAGUUCCUAUCGCCAAGAGGGUUUACGACCUCGAUGUUGGAUCAGGGUAUCCCAGUGGUGCAGCCGCUACUAAUGGUUCGUUUGUUCAACGAUUAAAACCCU